rnacentral:rRNA from 1 species
AUACGGAGGGUGCAAGCGUUACUCGGAAUCACUGGGCGUAAAGCGCGCGCAGGCGGUCUGUUAAGUUGGAUGUGAAAGCCUACGGCUCAACCGUAGAACUGCAUCCAAAACUAUUAGACUAGAGUGUGGGAGAGGAAGAUGGAAUUAGUUGUGUAGGGGUAAAAUCCGUAGAGAUAACUAGGAAUACCAAAAGCGAAGGCAAUCUUCUGGAACACUACUGACGCUGAGGCGCGAAAGCGUGGGGAGCAAACAGGAUUAGAAACCCUAGUAGUCC